rnacentral:lncRNA from 1 species
AUUUGUGUAUUGUAACAAAAUAAUAUAAAAUGUACUAUUUAGUGUAUUAUUAUAUCAGCCGUCCAUGACAUAUUUUCAUUUAUAAACUUAUACAAAUAUGUGUACAUUAUGCAUCAGAUCUCUCUCUCCUUCAGUCCAAACAUGAAGCGUUUGGAUCUCUCCUAUUCACUUUCCAAAAUCCAACAUCGUCCAACCCGGAAUUAACGGGCAACUUCGAAAAGAUUGGUCGACUCCUUUCAUCUAUAUUAUUUAUUAUUUUUUGUGUGGUAAGCUCGGCAAUGUGUGUUUAUAUAUCUAUUUACGCGUAUGAUAAUAAAUGUUUAGAUGCUGGGUGGGAAUGGGUUGGAGAAAGACAUGCCGUGGCGGGGCUAUACAAAAUAUCGGGUGUCUGUUGACACUGUAAAGCUAUAUCGCAAGGGCUUGAGACCCACUAGUUCAUCAUCAGCGGGAGUAGGGUUGUUGCUGCCAAUAGCAACAAUCAUUUUAAUGAAAAUAAGCAGUGUCGAACUUAAAUAAUCAAAUAUAUAAUGUUAUAUUCACAGUCCAAGAAGCGAAGUAGAGGUGUGAACACAUUUGGAUUCCAAGCCAGAUCACUGAUCAGAUAAUUGUUUACACGACUUCACCGAAAUUUCAGCCAG